rfam:Rattus norvegicus chromosome 18, whole genome shotgun sequence.
GGGGAUUUAGCUCAGUGGUAGAGCGCUUGCCUAGCAAGCACAAGGCCCUGGGUUCAGUUCCCAGCUCCG